AACGCACCUUGCGCUCCUUGGUAUUCCGAGGAGCAUGCCUGUUUGAGUGUCAUGGUAUUCUCAACCUUCAAAACUUUUGUGAUGAAGGCUUGGAUUUGGAGGUCGUGUCGGCGCGAGUCGACUCCUCUGAAAUGCAUUAGCGUGAAUCUUACGGAUCGCCUUCAGUGUGAUAAUUGUCUACGCUGUGGUGUUGAAGUAUUUGAGUGUUCGUGCUUACAAUCGUCCGCGAGGACAAUGUUACUUGACAAUCUGACCUCAAAUCAGGUAGGACUACCCGCUGAACUUAA
rnacentral:misc_RNA from 1 species